AUGGACGCUUUUGCCCCUGCACCGAAGGAAGGCUGGUUGUGUUGGACCCAGAGUCCCAGACCGAGACCUCUCGUCCCGUCCCGAACCCAGACGGAACCAGGUCCAUCCCCAAGCGGAGACCUAGCCAUGGCAGCUUCUCCGCAGGCGGCGGCCGCCGGCCGCCACGUGCUGGGCCGCGGGGCCGCGCCGCCACGGCCGAGGCUUCGCUCGGCUCUACCGGCGUCGUCGCUCGCGCUCCCGCAACGCGCAGUUUCUUAUUUGUUCAGGUCGCUCCUGCCGAUUCCAACGGCAUUUUGCUCAACAUCGCGUGUGCGGUUAACUCCAUCUGCAUCCUUGCCGUCAAGACGAAACUUUGAAGGCUAUAUUCCUCGCAGCUGCUCGCGUUCAUCGUUGCAGAUCUACACUACCCGGUCAUCGCCCCUAUCUCUCUCGCCGUCUUCAGCCCUCAUGGUGUCGGCCCAGCUUCCCCCGGCUGAUGUAGCCCAGCGGUCAGAGGAGUGGUUUGCUCUGCGCAAGGAUAAGCUCACCACAAGCACCUUCAGCACUGCCUUGGGUUUCUGGGCCGGCAACAGACGGUCGGAGCUUUGGAGUGAGAAGGUCUUCGGACCAACAGAUAUCAAGUUGGCGGAUGCGGCCAUGGCUGCCAUGGCCUGGGGAACCAAUCAUGAAAGCAUGGCCGUCGAGCAGUACACAAGAAUCACAGGACGGUCAGUGGGUUCCCUUGGCUUCGCAGUGCACACCGAGGCUAAAUUGGGGUGGCUCGGAGCUUCACCUGACGGCGUUCUUGGUUGUGACCCCGACGGUGGGAUCCUGGAAGUCAAGUGCCCAUACAACAAGGGUAAGCCCGAGCUUGCUCUGCCAUGGCGUAUCGUGCCAUACUACUACAUGCCGCAGGUGCAGGGGCUGAUGGAGAUCAUGGGCCGAGACUGGGUCGACCUGUACUGCUGGACACCCAACGGGAGCAGCCUUUUCCGAGUGCCUCGGGACCGCGCAUACUGGGAGCUCAUCCACGACGUGCUGCGCGAGUUCUGGUGGGGCAAUGUGAUGCCCUCCAGGGAGCUGGUGCUGCUGGGGAAGGAGGCCGAGGCAAGAUCCUUCGAGCCGCAGCCCAAGCACCGGCUGACAAAUCUAGUGAUAGUUAAGAGCAGGAAACUAGCUUCUGAAGCCAAGUUGUUAUGUAGGGAUGUUGGUGGUCAUGUAGAAUUCUUCCCAUAA
rnacentral:rRNA from 1 species